GUGGGGAAUAUUGGACAAUGGGCGAAAGCCUGAUCCAGCCAUUCCGCGUGCAGGAUGAAGGCCUUCGGGUUGUAAACUGCUUUUGUACGGAACGAAAAGCCUCUGGUUAAUACCCGGGGGUCAUGACGGUACCGUAAGAAUAAGCACCGGCUAACUACGUGCCAGCAGCCGCGGUAAUACGUAGGGUGCGAGCGUUAAUCGGAAUUACUGGGCGUAAAGCGUGCGCAGGCGGUGAUGUAAGACAGUUGUGAAAUCCCCGGGCUCAACCUGGGAACUGCAUCUGUGACUGCAUUGCUGGAGUGCGGCAGAGGGGGAUGGAAUUCCGCGUGUAGCAGUGAAAUGCGUAGAUAUGCGGAGGAACACCGAUGGCGAAGGCAAUCCCCUGGGCCUGCACUGACGCUCAUGCACGAAAGCGUGGGGAGCAAACAGGAUUAGAUACCCGUGUAGUCC
rnacentral:rRNA from 1 species